rnacentral:rRNA from 1 species
GGGCCCGCACAAGCGGUGGAGCAUGUGGUUUAAUUCGAUGAUACGCGAGGAACCUUACCAGGACUUAAAUGCAUAACGAUCGGUUGAGAAAUCAACUUUUCUUCGGACGGUAUGCAAGGUGCUGCAUGGUUGUCGUCAGCUCGUGCCGUGAGGUGUCAGGUUAAGUCCUAUAACGAGCGCAACCCCUAUUCUUAGUUGCCAGCGGUUCGGCCGGGGACUCUAAGAAAACUGCCAGCGCAAGCUGUGAGGAAGGUGGGGAUGACGUCAAAUCAUCACGGCCCUUACGUCCUGGGCCACACACGUGCUACAAUGGUAGGUACAAAGGGCAGCCACUUGGCGACAAGGAGCUAAUCUCUAAAACCUAUCUCAGUUCGGAUUGGAGUCUGCAACUCGACUCUAUGAAGCUGGAAUCGCUAGUAAUCG